rnacentral:misc_RNA from 1 species
GUGAAUCAUCGAAUCUUUGAACGCACAUUGCGCUCCUUGGUAUUCCGAGGAGCAUGCCUGUUUGAGUGUCAUUAAAUUCUCAACCUUACCAGCUUUUACGAGUUUUGGUAAUGGCUUGGAUGUGGGGGUCUUUUGCUGGCUUCAUCAAGAGGUCUGCUCCCCUUAAAUGCAUUAGCCGGUGCCCUGCGUGGAGCCGUCUAUUGGUGUGAUAAUUAUCUACGCCGUGGACGUCCACUUUUAAUGGGAUGCGCUGCUUCUAACAGUCCAUUUACUUGGACAAUUAAUGACAAUUUGACCUCA